rnacentral:rRNA from 1 species
GACGAACGCUGGCGGCGUGCUUAACACAUGCAAGUCGUACGGUAAGGCCCUUUCGGGGGUACACGAGUGGCGCACGGGUGCGUAACACGUGAGUAACCUGCCCACAACUUUGGGAUAACGCUAGGAAACUGGUGCUAAUACUGGAUAUGUGCUCCUGCUGCAUGGUGGGGGUUGGAAAGCUCCGGCGGUUGUGGAUGGACUCGCGGCCUAUCAGCUUGUUGGUGGGGUAGUGGCCUACCAAGGCGGCGACGGGUAGCCGGCCUGAGAGGGUGACCGGCCACAUUGGGACUGAGAUACGGCCCAGACUCCUACGGGAGGCAGCGGUGGGGAAUAUUGCACAAUGGGCGCAAGCCUGAUGCAGCAACGCCGCGGGCGGGAUGACGGCCUUCGGGUUGUAAACCGCUUUCAGCAGGGACGAAGCUUUUUGUGACGGUACCUGCAGAAGAAGCACCGGCUAACUACGUG